rnacentral:lncRNA from 1 species
GAGAAUAUAAAGUAACUUUUCUUAUGCCAAGAGAACAGGAAAUCCCUUUCGGAUACGGGGGGUACAUACGGAAUACUUCCAGCAUAACAUGCAUUAAUUAUCCCCACGAAAGAUGCAUUAACUAGCACAAGAACGGAGCCCCAGCCUGGUCACAUGGUGCACCCAUGUCCGUGUAGUCGAUGUCGAACCCACGUUUGCAAAUCUUGCCUUUUUCUUUUUUUUUUUUUUUUUUGAGAACAUCUUGCCUUUUGCUUGUUCCAGCCAAAGGCAAGCUGUGCACUUGGACCCGUCGGUCGACACGUCUAAGGUUCCUGGAAAAGGCCCAAACCGGCUCCAAAUCAACCCGGAUAUCUUCUCUUUCCCAAAGAGUAGCACGAGUAGAACACGGAUUUCCUUUCCCCAAAUCUUCGCUCCUCAUAUUAACGGGCAACCACCGCACCGGGACGCGAAGCCUCGAACGAGAGGAGAGAGAUCAGAUUGCCUUGCCCACACGACCAACAACGCUUUGCUAGGCGAGGCGCGCGACCAUGAGAGGCGAGGCGAGGCUGCUCUGCGGUCUGCUGCUGGUGCUGCUCUGCGUGGCCGCGAGCUUCCAAGGCGCGCACUGCCGCGGCGCCGGAGGCGGGGGCCACGGGGGAGGAGGCCGCGGCGGGGGCGGAGGACGCGGCGGCGGCAGUUCCGGGAGAGGGAGCGGCGGGGGGAGAGCCCGUCCGAUUAUCGCCGGGGCCGCGGCGGGCGCGGUCGUCGGCGCCGGCGCCGGCUACUUGGGCGGCAGGGCUGCGGGUGCGGGGCGCAGCGCCGCGGGUGAGCCGCAUGGCCGCGGAGUCUGGAGGGCUUCCGGUGCCGCCGCCACCCUCGCGGCCGCGGCGCUCGUUCGGUGGCUCUGAGCGUGCGAGACUUCUUCAACCGUAAAUCUCGGUACACGAGGGGAUUACUGAAUUACGAGUAGUAGCAAUUUAGCAGCAGUAGGUUGACGAGUGGAUUUGUGAUUUCUUACUGCUAGUUUCGGUUGAUGCAUGUGUAAGUAUUACGAGUUCGCACGGUGAAUUUUUUUUAACGAUCUCACACGGUAUUCUGAGUAGUACUAGAAUUUGGUAGUAGUAGUUCUUGUUCAUAUGAUGUGAUUUUUGUUUGGUUGUGUGAUGCUGAUGCAGUUGAAGAAGAUGAGUAGUCAUUAUCCGGCAAUAGUAAAACUUUACUCAUAAUUGUACCUUUUACUUGUCUUUUCGUUCGAUUUUCUUUCCGGCCACGGCGAGGAUGUCUGGUGGUGGUAUGCUAUCACGCCAUCAGCCAUCAGGAUUCUUUCAUGUGCUAUAUCUGUAUGCAGUAUGCCUGUAGAUGAUGCCUUCGUGCGCUUACGGCUUACCCCCUCAGUAUCGGAGAAAUUCAACCAGGUCUGUUUCAGUUUGCGCCUUUUUGUGCGCGUGUGCAGAGUUCUCGUUGCGCCGUUGCGCAAGUAUUGACAAGAAAAUGCAUUCAAUACGAUCAAAGAGGCAAAGAAUGAGAUGCCUUUUGCAACAACUCAAACAAUUUGGAAACGAGAAAAGUAUUCUUCGUCCUCUAACUUACUAAAUAAAUACAUAUAAUGAAAAAAAAUGCACGUCUUCCAGCUGUAGAAAUCCGACACCGAUGGUUCAUCAUCCUCGGCAGAGCGGUCUGCGGCACUACUGCUAAUGUGACACUUUUUUGGUCUAGAAAUUGCAAUGUCGCCCGUCAAGCUGGCAUGCAGUUGACUAAUCAGUUAGAGUCACACAUUCUAACUUCUACGACUAAGCUCACUUCCUCAGUUCCUCUGUCCCUCUCGACCCAAAACAUAGUAGCUACUCCAAGAGAGCAAGAGACCCCUUCUGUCCCAACUUGAGCUGUUGGCUGCAACGCCGGCAACUUAGCUGCGGGCACAACAACGAUGACUCAGCAAUGGUUGCAACGACUGGGUCGUUGUUGUGACUCAAUGUGAGCGCAACAACUACGACAACCUUGGUGAUGACCGUCAGAGUUUGAGAUCGAUCAGCGAAUACUUGAUUCAAAAUUGUGUCGUCGAUCUGCAUGGCCACGACACUCAGCGCCGUUGUUAGCAUGUCGCGAACCAUUAGUCCCUUUUUUUUUGUCUCUCUGUUUCCAAAAACAGAAGCCGAAUCCUUCUCAACGUCGGCUAGUGCCCCAAUUCCGAGAUCGAACAGGUAUCCGGUUCCGACCUCCGAUCAAAGCAAUCCCAGUCGUUCAUCGAACACCAGAGCGUUCUCCCGGCCGCCGCACCCGCCAUCAUAUAUGCCCGCUGAACCAAUCUCAUCGAUCACAACAGCAACAGAUCCACAUCGCUUUCGCAAGGCGGUUUGCCCUCGCGCUUCUUCUGCUCCUCUUCGCGCUCGCGGCCGUCUUCAACGUUAACGCGGCCCGAUCCCUUCCGGGCCAGCAGCCAUCUGAGGCCGUGUCGACGGCGGGCCAGGGGCCGGCCCAGCUCCGCCAGCCCGCCAUGCUCCCGGAGGUUGAGCCGGUGCCUGCGUCUGCAUCGCCCCUUGUUCAGUUCGGCGAUAGCAUGACCGUUUACCAGGAGAUUCUCGAACAUUGCGGCGUGAAUCAGAAAUCCAACACGUUACCUAGUUUUGACGACGGACCGGCAAUCUGCAACAUGCGAUCGAAAAGGCCAGUGCGCACAGACUUGGUGUGAAUCUCGGCGGCGGAUCAGAGAAGGACGGGCCCCUGCUCAUCUGAUGUGUAAAGCUGCUAGUACAUCGCUCCAAGGCUUCGGCAAUACUAAUAGAACCCCGUUUUUUUUUGCAAGACAAUAGACUAGUAGUACAACCUUGUUUUCUGUAACGUGUGUAAAGAGCCUACAGGCUAGGGUCGGCUGAUAAUCAAAAGGGACAUUUUUAACGCUAUAUACAAGAAAAGAAAUCUGAUUCUGUAAAACAGCAAACAAAUAUAAAACUGAAAUUUGAACUUUAAAAAAGAAGAAGAGUCGUUUCCUUGUAAAGAAAUACAAACAAACCAGCCUAAAAAGAAUCCAUACAGAAGGCCUGCUAGGAAAAAGCCCCCCUAAAAAUCGAGAAAUAUAAGAAGGCCCACAUCAGCACAUAACCAAAACAAACAAAAUAAGGCCCAGAGAGGCCCAUUCAGUUUCACACAACACAAACAGCCUUCUUCUUUUUUGCGAGAAAAACACAAACAACCGUAUAGGAGUAAUUGAUGUAAAUCGGUUGAUCUUCCCACGAGUGAAACCCUAGCCGUCAGAGAAAAAAAACCCCGUUUCCAUCUUUGUUGGUUCCCCUUGCCUCUGAUAACCCAUCAGGAGGUGAGGGGAACCACGGAUCAACAUCUGGAAUCGUUUUUAGUACCUUCUUUGUAAGGUUUUCCGUGUCCUUGGUGGCGGCGUUCCAACAGUGGAGGCGGCGACGUGUGGAUUAUUGGUCUCCCAGCUCCAUCGAUCCCCGUUCUGGCAUGGCUAUCAUGGUCUACUCCAUGUAGUAUUGGGACUCACGGCUCGUAAUUUCAUGAUUUUGGUCAUCUUCCUUAACGUUUCAGCGAUGAUUCAAUGGUUCGACAACCUGUCUUGUGAGGGGCGUGUCUCCGGCCACCACGGUUCAACGAUAUUAAGUUGAUAAGUUCUCACCUGUUAGGAUGGGCGGCUCAUGCGGCUCAGUAAAACCUAUAAGGUUAGUCCAGAUUAUGUAGGUUUGGUCUUGUACUGUUUCGUCACCAUAGAUUUGGAAAAACAUCAAGAUGCGAUUGACGCAACUAGAGAAGUUGGGUUCAAAGAUUUUUGAUGUAAAGUUGUAAACCGAAAUCUUUGUUGUCGUUUUAGUUUUUCAAUCAAUUAUACUACGUUCGUUGAAUAAAUAAAGUCAGAUCGUUGUUCUAAAAAGAGAGUAAUGGAUGUCGAAUAAAUUAUAGAUAAUUAUAAAACUAAACGAAGAUAAUAUUUUCAAAAAAGAAGAAGAAGAAGAUAAGAUUUUAAAAAAAUAUCGGUUUCUUGGCUCCUGCCUUCCCAGAAGCGGCAAACAGACACCGACCGAUCGAGUCCCCAACCACACCCUCCACAUAUACUCCCUUCAUCCAACAAUAUGGGACGUAUUAGCUUUUCUUUAACCAAUGCUUUGACCACAAAUUAUUCUAUUAAUAUAUAAUUAUACCACAUAUAUUCAUAUCCAUUAUGUACCUACUCAAGAAUAUUUGCUUAUGGUUAUGAUUCUGAUCACAUUAGUCACACAUUCAUGAAAUAAUUUGUGAUCAAAUGCUUGGUUAACCCAAUCAUAAUAUACCUCCUGUGGCUGGACGGAGGUAGUAACACGCAACAAGCAGCCCCAAGAACCGGAAGGCGAUCGAGCUUGCGCGCGCAAGAGGUUUCCAAAUCCCAUCUGACCAGAACAACGACGCCAACGACAACGACCAUGAAAGGAGGAACAAAACUGAUAUGUGGGCUGCUGCUGGUGCUGCUCUGCGUGUCCGCCCGCCUCAAGGGUGGCUCCUGCGCCGGCGGUUUCGGCGUCGGAGGGGGCUUUGGCAUUGGUUUUGGUGCAGGGUACGGCCGGCCGGCUCCGGUCAUGGAGCCGGAGCCUGCCGGCGGGCCCGGGGCGGCCGCCGUCGUGGGCGGAGGCGCUACCGACGGCGGCACUACUGCGGUGGCUGCCGCGGGUGACGCUCGUGUCCGCGGUGGCGUCUAGAGAGCGUCCGGUGGCGCCGCUGCCCUUGCAGUCGCCGCGCUUGUCUGGCGCUAGCUGAUGGUGUGCGUGCGUGCGCCAAGCCAAGAUCGAUCUAUGUUCUACGGUAGACCAGUGAAUUUAGGAGUAGUUUUGUGGAUCGGUGGCUGCAUGUGUAAAUAUUACUCGAUCUUAGUCUAGAGCGGAGUUUUGAUCAGGAAUUCAGGUGCAGGGGUGGGCAUGAAAACUGAGAAACUGAAACGGAAACGGAAGCCGAUUGGACCGAAAUCGAAGAACCGUUUAAAACUUCGGUCAGCAAAAUCAAAGAACCGAAGUUUGUUCGGUUAAUUGGGUCUCUUGCCUCGGUUAAACAAAAAAACCCGAAGAACCGAAAUUCAUUGCUGCAUCUUUAAAAUUUAAUGUUGUCAUUGCAUGUUAGAUGAUAUUUACUGGCUGCUGCCAUUGCGUGUGUCUGUGUCACACAAGAUUAUGUGUUUAUUUUUGCGUGUAAUUUAAAUCUAUUUUCUGUUCUAAGUGGAAGAUUGAACUAAAUUUGUUUUCAUUUUUUGUUUGCCGUAAACACAAUGUUCGGUUAGUUCGGUUCCGAAUCGAAUUUUCUGUGAACCGAACUUUCGGUUAUCAAAAUUUUCAAGAUGACUUCGGUCCUCAUAUCAGAAGAACCGAAUUUCAUGAAAACCCGAAGAACCGAACCGAAAUUUCGGUUAUAACCGAACGCCCACCCCGAUUCAGGAGUAGUCUGUCCCAGCCUUUUGAUUUCUUUUAGAAAAGUCUGGCUUCAUUGAUUUUUGUUCUUCGACAACAUUUGGUACUGAGGUCUGGAUUACGAUAAUCCAGCUUUACCAACCAAUUUCUUUUUGGCUAUUUUCUAUUUGUCUGAUCAAUUCUUUCAUGUUUUUAUUUGCAUUUUUCACAGCAAGUUAUAAUUCAGCACAACACAAUUUAGCAAAGUCAAACUAAUGCUUAAUCAAGAAACAUAGCAUAGGAAAACUGAAACAAAAAACAAGAAACUAAUUGCUAGAUCUCUCUCCAUGUCACUUGUGAUGAAACUAUAAACGACCAGACCUGGACAAGUAAACUAACUUCGUAAGUUUCUAAUAACCACAUAAGAGCAACUCUAGCAGAUACCCAUAUGGCCGAUCCGAACUCCAUAUUAGGUUUUGGGCCAAAAAUCAGCACGGAACAGAUCCUCGAAAAAGGCCCGGACCGCAAAACGUGUUUCGGUUUACCCCAAAAACCAGCCCAGGGGCCGCCUAUAUGCCUACUCGAGAGGCGUACUCGAUGUCCACACCCCACUCUCUCGCCGCCCAAAUUCGCCACCAAACCCUACCCCGCCGCCAAAUCCGCUGCCCUUUCUCCUUCUUCUCCAACUCCAGCAACCUAGAUCCCGUCCCUUCCACCGCAAUGGUUAUAGAUAGCCAACUGGCCGGCCUGGCUCCGACCCAGUAUAUGCUAAACGUGAUUGGCCCGGGCACGGCCCGAUGAAGCCCUGGAAUAGAGAGGGGCCAGCCCGGCCCCUUAAUACGUCCUUCUGGCCCAGGCGCGGCACAAAGCUCCGUCGGGCCGGGCCGGGCCCGUUAAGGCCUGGCAGGGCCUGAGGAAGCCCAUCUCUGCAUAAGGCCCAUCUAAGAAAAUAAAUAAAUAAAGGGCUAGAAUGGGCCAAAAUUGUUGGGCUGGACCGGAAUUUUGAGGAUACAUGGGCCAAAUGUAGGAAAACUAUAAAAAAAAACAGGUCGUGAGGAUGAAGCCCAGGCUCGGCACAGGCGGGGCCUCAGGCCGGCCCGACCCAAUUAGUUUUGUGCCGGGCUUGGCACAAUCGGACCAAGCCCGCCAGGCUUUCGAGCUUUGCCAAAAGGCCCAUCCCGUUGGCCAUCUAUAGCAAUGAUGCACCCCAUAGCAUCCCGGGGGUCCGCUGGUCACCGUACCGCUUCUCCGCGCGGGCAGGAAAACCCUAGCGGCUGCUGCGGCGGAGGGGACGACUAUGAGGCGGUGCACCAUCGUUCCAUCAGGGUAGGGCGGCAUGCCGCCUGCAAAUGGGAUAAGCACCGCUUUACGAACCGUGAUGCUGAGCGCCGGUACUAGCAAUAUCUGGCGGAGGAAGCUGCGCGGGCGGCGGGGACUUGGGCCGGCCCCCGUGGCGGGGGCACGCCGCGUCAGGGGGAGGCCGAGUCCUCUCGUGCGGCCGUGCACCACCGCGCAUUUUCGCCCACUCGUCAAAGACGAGGAGGAUCUUCUCGUGCAAAGCUUUUUAAAAAAAAUUCAGUUCUUAGUUCGGUUUCUGUUCUGCACGACGUAUUUCUGAACUGCAUUUUCGGAUUCAGUUGAUCCGAACUCCCCUAGUUCGGAUCGGCCACAUGGGGUAUGUGUUAGAGUUGCUCUAAGUCGCUUGCCCCAAAAGAUGAGAACCUAUGAUCGUUGAACUUGCUGGAGACACACCGUUUGCAAGACAAGUUUGUAGAUUGUUGUUUCGUAGCCGAACCGACAAGGAAGAUAACCAAAAUAACGAAAGUAAAAAAACCUGGGGAUCCAACGUAUUGACUAGCCAGCAUGCCGAUAGAGCCAUGGGACCAUUAUUUCAUAUACCAUUGCCUCCACCACUAGGACGCUAUCGCGAGGACACAAUACCUCAUAAAAAAAUUAAACAGAUUAUUUGUCACACCUUGAUCCCUGGUUACUCUCAUUUUCCGAUUUCUAAUCGAUGGUUGACCACAAGGGAAGCCGACAAAAACCACAACUUCAACGAGGUUCUUUCCGGUGGCUAGGGUACGUUCCUCACGCCAUAAUCUCACAGCAAAGACUUGCUACGUGGCCUACGUAAUAUGUCUAAUGAAUCACUAAAAUUGAAUGGCUUGCUAAAAUCCUAGAUGAAACAUGAUAGCUAGUCUUUCAGCUAUUUUUCUUAAGAAAUGUCUAUUUCUCAGUCGCCUAAAAAUAGUUAUUUCCCGAUCAACAAUCAUGGCCAUUCAAUUAAUAUUUUCUUAUUAUUGGACCUACAUUAAUCUUACACGAAUCACACUGACUGAAUCAAAAUGUUGUUAUCAUCGACUAAGAAAUACUCCCUCCGUUACAUGAUUCUUGUCUCAAAUUUGCAAAAAAUAGAUGUAUCUAUUUUAAAAAAACGUCUAUAUACAUGUAAUAUUUCAACAACAAUUAUGAAACGGAAGGAGUAGUUAUUUCUCAGUCGCCUAAGAAAUAGAAAAACCGUUUUUCUUACUUCCAUUAGUAUUUGAAAUGGAAAGAUGGUUUCAAGCCGAUCAAUUUCUUUGAUCUUCUGUCCAGGUAGAGAUUUUUCAACGAAAAUUUACUUCAGAACGAUAAGCCUGACGCACGGAUACGUGUUCAAACUUUCUUUGGCGUAGAAUAUGCGAAGUUUGAACAAUUUGACUUCUCCGCACCGACAUAUCCGUGGCAGCAGAUCAGUUAUUGCCAACCACGAUCAGGCUAGCUCCCAACGUGCCGGCCGGAGACCCCGGAGCAAGUUACAGGCUUGCCGCUUGCCGUUGCAGAGCAGCCCCAAGCCCCCAACGACCCUCAAACCGCCUCCGCAUUGGGGCUAUCCAUCUGACCUGCGCCGCGAGGACGACGAAGGCGACCCAGGCAGGGAGACGACCAUGAGAGCAUCUUCAACUACGUACAGUAGACAUGCAUUCAGUAAUUUCAAGAAGGACCAUAUAUACUAUAGUACUCAUGAAUUAUUGUCAAGUAGAAAAAGAGAGAAAGUAGAAAAAAUGGUUUGCUUAUGGCAUGGCAUACAUCAGACCUGGAUUUGAGCCAACAUAAUCGAUUCUUGGAUGGUCGUUUCCAUAUACUCUGUUUAAUACUCCUGAACAUGGGGCUUGUAUUCUGCAGUUCACCUGCAAAUAAGGGUAUCCCAUACGUCCAGAACAAAAAGUGAUGCUAAGACUGAAAAAACACUUGUCAUAAUGGCUUCCAAAAUAUGACUCAUUCGGUCUUUACACAGGUUGUAGAAUUGAUUUACUUCUCUUCAAUUGUUGGCACUAGCAUUGACAGACUAUGCCUCUCCAAACACAGACAUAAUCCUUGUGAAGCCCAGUACGAACGCUAAGUAUUGAUAAAUCAAGAGGUGAUACAUAAUUAUGAGCAUGUACAAUACAACACCAUUAGCCAGACAAACAAUUGUAAAAAUUAAUCAAAAUUGGACAAAGAGAUUAUGCAUUCUUGUAGAUCCAUCAAACAAGCCCCAGCCUAAAGCAUUCACAUCCAGCACUAGAGGCACGGAAGCAACAUCAUAAUUCCUACGUCCCCUGCACUAUCUAAUUGACAGAUUGCAGUACCAAAUCAGAUAGAAUUUUGUACCGUUAGAAAUGCGCAUACCCGGCGCUCGGCGGGCAUAGAAAGCGGCUGGGAGCCGGAGGCACAGCUAGACGCCUCGGAGGAGCUGGAGGCGGAGGCGCAGCAAGCUUGCGAGCUGCACACCUCGGGCAAGCUGGCGAGCUGCGUCUGGGCUGGGGUGAAGGCGAAGCUUGUCGACGAGCUACACAUCUUGGGCGAGCUGGUGGCGGAAGCGCGGCAAGCCGGUGAGCUGAGUCCUAGUUGGGGGCGGAGGCGCAGCUUGUUGAAGAGCUGCACGUCUUGGGCGAGCUGGGGGCGGAGGCGCGGCAAGCCGGCGAGCUGAGUCCUAGUUGGGGGCGGAGGCGCAGCAAACCGGCGACUUCGAAGUGACUGAGUGAGUACUACAAAAAUGCUCGCACGAAUUAAACACCUGUUUAGGCUUCUCAGCAUUGAAGUAAAUUUAUUUUAGAUAGGUGCUUAGUGAUAUGGCAAGAUUCUCUCUCUUUAAGCACCUGUAUACGAGCACCUUGCAUUGCAUUGUAGAUGCUCCGAGAGAUGGGACGAAUUUCCUCGGCGCGCUGCUGCUGUUGAUUCUGCUUUGCGUGCCGCGCGCUUCCAAGGCGCCUGCUCCGCCCGAGGUGGAGGCGGAGGCGGGGGAAGGGGAGGAGGAGGGGGCGCGUUUUCCGGUGGAGGUGGGCGAGGGGGAGGCGACGCCAUUGCCGGCGGAGGGGGCGGCAGAGCUCGGAAGGGAGCCGGCGGUGCCAGUGCCGGUGGAGGGGGCGCGGGCGGCGGGAGGAGCACCGGCGGGUCGGGGAGCCAAGCGAAAGGAUCCACCGCCGGCGGGGCCGCCAUCGUGGGUGGCAACACUGCCGGCCUGCCGGGGGAUCACAAGGAGGACACUACGGCGCGGGAUCGCAACGAAGCAGCGGCGCCGCCUUGGGUGGCCCUCCGCAUGGCCGUAGCGUCUGGAUGGUAUCCGAAGGCGCCGUCGCUGCUCUUGCGGCCGCCGCGCUCGUGUGGCGCUGAUCGUCGAGUAGCCUGCGAAUCUGCGAUGCAUCAAGAAUUCAAGAGUCGAGAGUCGAGACUACUCUAAAAACCCUUCAUUUUCUGUUUAUCGACGUAUAUGAUGCGUAAGCACGUUCAACAUAAAAAUCAAUCGAGCCAUUGGUUGUACACCAUUGCUUCUUCCUGUUUGUAAUUAGUGUUCUUGUUAUUCUUUUUGGUGUAAGCCCUCGUCUGUUUUUAACGAAUGACGCGUAAGCAUGCAUGUUUCACAUAAAAACUUACCGUUUGUAAUUACUAGAAACUUACUGUUUGUAAUUAGUGUUCUUGUUAUUCUUUUUGGUGUAUAGGUAGUGCUCCUGCGAACACUGCUCGGAGUGUGACGUACCGGCUGGAGCAACUGCAGCCAUUGUGUUUUUUAGGUGAACAGAGCCAUUGUGUGUCUCUCGAUUGACUCGAUGGUUUCCGUGUACUUCACCUUCUGUCCAGGUUAACACAUCGGAUGACUGAGGAUGCGCGAUGGUACUCCCUCCGUUCAUAAAUAACUUGUUGCUGCGAACUGACCGGUGUUAUGUUUUCUUGUGGUGGAACCAGUCCACUCAGGUUCAAGUCACAUGGGUGUUCGCAUUUCCCUAGAUUUAUUUCAGAACCUAACCGGUGUUGUGUUUUCAGUGGGAGUGACGUACGGCACAUCAGUCUCUCGGAGGGUGCUCAUAGGGGUAGGGUGUGUGAGCGUCUGCGUCCAGUGGGAGUGACGUACGGCACAUCAGUCUCUCGGAGGGUGCUCAUAGGGGUAGGGUGUGUGAGCGUCUGCGUCUGUACUGUGUUUUCUAAAAAAAAAAAACUUAUUGCUGUUUUAUUUCAAGUUUGCACUAAAACAGCGACAAGUAUUUAGGAACGGAGUGAUUACUAUAUAAUGAUGUCUGCACACUGCACUUGCAUUCUGUAAUGCUACCUGUUUGCUAAACCCGACAGAGAUUGUGGAGGCUAGCAAUCAAGAUGUAUAAGUUGGGUGUAGCACUUGUCCCGUUCUCCGUGGUUUACACCCCAGAUGCAAUUGUUCCUCUCUUCAUGUCCCUUCCUCGCAUAAUUAGUGAUCCCAACAACGUUCCAUGUGUCGUAUUGUCUGGUGGAGCAAGGGAAACAAAUGCAUAUGUAACUAAUCAAAAGAUUACACUGACAGCUUGUUUGGCAACCAAGAAUUCAUUUCAUUUGAUCAAAAUGAAAUGAAAUCUAAUUUUUGAUAGGGUUUCAUUUGGUUGAAUUUGAAUUCUGGGUUGAAAAAUCAUGUUUGUCUACCACAUGAAAUUAAAGAGUGAGAGACAAUUCUAGAGAAAUGAUGGCUUUUAGAAAAGAAUUAAGGCUAGUUACACUGUGAUUAUAUGAAAUUUGAGAUUGAAUUUCUGUAACUAAUUCCGUGCCAACCAAACAAGUUGUUUUUAAAAUUUAAAAUGAAUUCUACAAUUUUAUGACUAAAUGAUGUGCGUCAAACAAGCUGUGAAAGAGUUUGCUAUAGAUUAAUGGAGACCCAAACUUUCUUAUAGCGAUUAAUGCAUGGCUGCUCCUGCUGCCAUAUCCAUGGGCGCCAUAGUCGUAGCAACUUCCACAGGAUCCGGCGCUCCUGCCUUCUGACCACUGGGACCACAUGAUAGGUUGGAUCUGCUGUAGCUAUCCACUUUUCAGGGGUCUGGCCUCUCUCCCGAUGGCAACUGUUCGAGGUAAUCUUAUUACUCUUAGAAUUAGAGACAGUAGAGUAGUUCAGUCCGGCAUGAACCAUUGUCCGUACUACUCCGGUUGAGUCAGUGAUGAAGCAUUGUCUAAAAAAUAUUAUCACCAGAAAAGGGCUAUCUCAAAACAAGGAACAGUUUUGUUUUGUGGGUACAGCUAGCCGACUCGCCAGGCGGAUAACAAUGAAGGGUAGCCAGCGGAUCCUUCCUUUAGUCAGGAAGAAACGAAGGACGACCAUCCAUCGACCAAUAGAGGCAAGGCACGUACAUGCAUCCAUGUGUACGGAAGAAGUGAUAACCUGAAGCACAUCGCUGACGAAGCUUAUAAUAAUCUUGCUUGCUUGCGCACCUAAACACAUACCAGCUGGGUAUAGUAGCUGGCAUAUUCUCAUACAGUAUUAUGCACGGAUCACUGACGACGUUUCCAUCGUUGAACUGGUAACCAUUUCUCAUUACUUGCACGCAAUCCAGGAAUGCAGGAUAUACUGAAUAUAGUCUGCAGCUACAGCCUACAGGAGACUAUCACAAAGUUCUAAAUUAGGCGACUUAAUUAGUGGAAACAACUCUUGGAUGGAAUCCACAUUGUUGUCGCUACUAGUGCAGGGGUUAACUGGCUAAGGUUGUUUGUUUCAGUAGCGUGUAAGUAAGGGACAUGGAGGCAGCUAUAUACCUUUUUAAAAGGGCAUGCAGCUAUAUUCUAGGUCCACGUUGUUGUUCUUUGACAGGACUAGCUCCACGUUGUUGAGAACCUGAAUCCUCGUUGCCUCCCUUGCUUUUGUUUUCCUCAUUUUUACUAAUUAUUCGGCUUGUACAGCCUGGCAUGUACAAAGGUACAGACAUCCAGCCAUCUAUAGUGUUUUACAUGAUUUACAGACAAUUUUACAGAUAUCAUAUACAGUAGUCUGUCUAUACGCUGUCUAAAAAGUCUGUACUAAAAAUUAUAGGCAACAGACAUACAAUGAUAAAUAAUCUGUUUAUAAAUUGUCAAUUAGAUUAUCUGUACAACUAAAGACAGACUGCUAUAUUUUCUCAAUCUCUUUCCUCCACCUCAGCAAAAGUACCUCUUAUAGACACCUAAAUCAGCCCCAUUGUACAUGCCCUAUCAAAUAGCUUUUCCUUUCCUUUCUCCUACAUGCCUAUUUUCCAUACUCUUUUUGAAGCAUGUAACAUUUUAAUGAAAAUGCAGAGCACUUGCUUGUCCGUUGAUGAGGGGCUACCUCGGCAAUACCCUGACUCAAGGGUUUUCGACUGAGGGAGAGCACGGGGUGCACCAGCGAUCUCGUCGACUAACAAAGACUAGGGGAGUCGCAAGGUUUACCCAGGUUCGGGGUCCUCGGAAGGUAAUACCCCUACGUCCUGCUUUUGGUGUAUUGUAUUGAUCGAGAUUACAGAGAAGCUAUGAAGCUAUGGUGCGCAGAUGAAUCUGGCGUUUGUCUAGAGGUUGGCCAUUCCCGAUCCCCCCUCCUAGCCUUAUAUACUGGCGGCUAGGUCUCGGGCGUGAUAAUCGGGAAUGUUACAAUCAGAUCAAUUCAUUACGGUAUGAUAAGAUUAUGUUUCUUGGCUUGAACCGCACUUUGAGGGACUCGACCUGCAUAUGCUUGAUGGGCCUUCGAGUGGGCCCCCUGUUGGGCUGCAUCGGGUAUAUGAAGGUUGAGAACUCGAGUCCCUGUUCGAGGCGUAGACUCGAGUAGGGACUCAAGAGUUUCCUUAUUCUGAUUAUUCGACUGUGUGCCAAACUGCAAAUAAUCUUCCGUUGGUCGAUUGACUUAAGUGUUCGUCAGGCCCAAACUUUGAUAGUUCUUAGCUUAUGACGCGGAAAACACAAGGUAUUUCUGCAAAUUGUACUGAUGUUGUGUGGGAUGGUUGCGUAACGCGCCUGGAAUACUCGAUCGGUCGAGUCCAGUUAAUUGCACCGGGGCAAAAACUUUGUUAGCAUACAUCAGCACUCGAGUCCCUAGGCUCGAGCCUGGAUAACUGGCGGUGUUCGAGUCAAACCUGCCGAGGGUUUUACAGACUCGAAAUCCAGUGCUGCGGGGCGAUCAACCAACGCGUCCGUUGGUUGAUGUUCUUCAUGCAAGCGCGUGGAUGAUCUGGAAUCGCCUGAAGGUGCUGAUUUCCAGGCCCGAUGAAAAACCAUCGGGUCUUACCUUCACGUAAUGAACGUGGCUUAGGGUGUGUUUCGCAGUCCGUGCGACCCGGAUAAUGCUGUCGAGUGCCUAUGUACCAGGUACACUUCGAGUUCCUGCGCCGUCAGGUGGCAGCCCAAGUUUUCUAGAGUUUGAUAUGACGUCUUUGCUGACACUCUGAUUAAAGAAAUGGUCUGGGAAGUCGAUGGGACGUACCUAAUGCUUUAUGCACGGACUGGAUCGAGUACUGUUGAUGUGGUCAGUUUGAUUUGACCACACGAUGUGCGCGAGAAUUUAGGCGCAUUGAUAGCUGUCGUGGGUUCUUGAACCGGUGGAAGGGGAAACGGCUCAUUUCUACUGGGACCACGCGUCUCUUUUCUUUAUGGCACAGAAGGAGGUGAGAUUAGGUUCCCCUUUUUUUUUUGCAUUUCUUAAUUUUGUAUUCUGCAUAUUACAACGAAUAUUUUUUUAUUCUUGCUUAUCUUACUUUUCCAAUUGUGCUAAGUCAUGCGCGCGAUACAAAGUUCGUGGUAGAGAACUUCUUUGAGUCAUCCUAUUUUUCUGUUCAUAUGAGGGAAAUUCAUAUGUGAUUUUCCAAAUAAGGGAAUCCAAAUGAAACCCUUUUUUUGCUCAGUCUAUCUGGACUACUUUUGUAUAAUAGGAAUUAAUUCGAAAUAGGUAUUCCGUUUCAUCUAGGAACAGAACGUAAAAAUUUUCCUUUACUUGAAUAAAAUCUGGAGUUGUGUUGUAUAAGUCCGCAUGAAUUUCUUAUCAUUCAAUGAGCAUCUUGUAUUUCAUAGAAAUUGGGGGUUAUAUAGUCCUUACGUAAGGGCCAGCCUACCCAACUUUCAGGCAUUAGGAUACGUUUAAGGCGCGGAUGAUUAUCAUAAGAGAUUCCCACCAUAUCAUAAGAUUCGCGUUCUUGAAAAUCGGCACUUCUCCAAAUCCAGAAGACAGACGGAAUUCUAGGAUUAUCCUUUUGGGCAAAGACUUUUAUGCAUACUUCUUCCGGGUUAUCUAUGCCAUACUGUAUUCACGUAAGAUGAUACACGCUAGCUAAAGAUCCACCGGGUGCUACAUCAUAAGCACAUUGGGAGAGUAAAUAAUUGUAACCAUAUACGUAUAAAAUGACAGCAAUGGAAUCCCAAUCCCCCGCUUUUAUUUGUAAAGUCUCUAUUCCUCGGUGAUCAAAGCCCAAAGAUCUAUGAACCACCUUAUGUUUGACUAGCCAAUUAGAUAACCAACCCUGCUGCAUUGUCUUGAUCUCUCCCUCUUUGUUUUGUAUAAAUAUUUCACAUUUCGGAUGCAAGUUUCAAAGAUUGCCUUGCUUUUUAUUUUUCUAGACGAAAGAACCCCCCUCCUAAUUCACUAAUUUGUAGGAAGGUACUAUACUUUUGGAUUUGUAAAUUUUUUCAGAAGAUAUAUCUAAAGUAGAUGGUGAUUGAUAGAGCAAUUCUUGCUCGUAAGUUCCAGUAUGAGUACUGCGCCGAACAUAAAGCUUGUGACUGGUAGUAAAACAUCGGUUUUUAUUUUGAGAUCGAAUUCGAUCCUCAACUAUUUCUCGCGAUAUCUUCUUACGAAGUUUUGUUAGGGCAUCUAUAACCGCCUCCGGUUUAGGUGGGCAACCCGGCAAGUAGACAUCCACAAGAAUUAACUUAUCAACUCCUCGAAUAGUACUAUAGGAAUCCGUACUGAACAUUCCCCCUGUAAUAGUACAAGCUCCCAUAGCAAUGACGUAUUUUGGUUCAGGCAUUUGCUCGUAUAACCUCACUAAAGAAGGAGCCAUUUUCAUUGUUACUGUACCAGCUGUUAAAAUUAGGUCCGCUUGCCUAGGACUUGAUCUUGGUACCAAUCCAUAACGAUCAAAGUCGAAUCGCGAGCCUAUUAAUGAAGCAAAUUCAAUGAAACAACAACUGGUACCGUAUAGAAGGGGCCAUAAACUGGAGAGUCUUGACCAAUUUGAAAGAUCGUUUGGUGUAGUUGAAAUAACAGAAUUGGAACUUGUUUGGUCAAGUAAAGGAAACUCAAUCAAACUCAUAACUGUCUCAAUGGAAUCUUUUUCUUCUUUUUUUUUUUCUAAAUAUUCAGUUAAGACAUUCCAAGGCUCCUUUUCGCCAUGCAUAAACUAAACCAACAACUAGGAUAAGCACGAAAAUGAAAGCUUCGAUAAAAACGGAUACACCCAAUACGUCGAAACUCAUUGCCCAAGGGUAGAGAAAGACGGUUUCCACAUCAAAAACAACAAAAACUAGCGCAAACAUGUAAUAGCGUAUUCGGAAUUGUAGCCAAGCCCCUCCCAUGGGUUCUAUACCCGAUUCAUAACUAGAAAGCUUUUCGGGUCCUUCACUAAUCGGGGCUAAAAGCCCUGAAAUCCAAAAUGCCAAAAUCGGAAUAAGGGUUGCUAUUAUUAGAAAUGUCCAAAAAAUAUCAUAUUCGUGAAGCAGAAACAUAAUGUACUCCCAUUAAUGUAGAAUAGACGAGACUUAAAUUAAUCAAUUCAAUUAUGCAUUGUCAAUUCAUCCAGAACUUAUCUCUUUUCCUCGGUGAAACAAGAAUCUGUUUUGUUCAAACAAAAUCGCUUAGUUUAGCCUUUGUUUUCUCUGUGCUGUGUCUUCUUUAAAGAUUCAUCCAAUGGAAUCCCAACUCCCCUUCUUUUUUCUCCAUUCUAUUUAGAUAUGGUCUAGAUCUAAUUCUUAUAUAAAAAAUACUUUAUCCCUUCACUUUAUUUUGCUUUCUCUAUAAUCUUUAGAACCUAAUUAACAUAAGAGGACUAGUCUAUGCAGUAGACUGAGAAGUAAUACUAUAAAAAAAUAAGGAACUCUAUUUCAGAACUAUGAGACAUAAUAUUCUGUUUUCUUAUUUACUCUUUACUUUAAUUCUUUCUAAAAAAAUUCUAUUUAGGAUUUUAAGUAGAUCGAUUUAGAUAAUGUAUAUAUAAGCAAAGUAAUAUACCUAAAACAAAGUAUAAAUUCGCAAGAUGGAGAAAAUCAUUGCAGUUUUAUAGGGAAGUCUAGAGAUACCCUAUUUGAAGAAGGGCGGGAUUCAAAUCAGGGAAGGGCUCUUUUCUUCUAUUGAUUUGAUAGAAAUCACUUUUUCGUUUCCUAUCUCUAUGAUUUUUGAUGAAUGAGCCUGUGGUAAUUCUUUUACGCCUAUUCUAUGUCGCAGGCGCCCGCCCAGUCUAUAAACAAGUACUAAUGUGAAAAUAAAAGCUAUACUAAGGAAAACAUAGGAUAUCUAUACUAAAAUCCAAAAAUAGGACAUAUUAGGGCUAUACGGAUUCGAACCGUAGACCUUCUCGGUAAAACAGAUCAAACAGAUUAUUAUCGAAAUGAUUCGAACUGUUUCAAAGACCCAAGAUGCAUUUUUUUUGCAUUGGGCUCUUUCAUCAACUGAUUUAAAGAUCAGUUAGUCCACCAUAGUUUUCUUUACGGAAAGAUAAUGAGAUGGCUCCCUGUGCUCUGAUUGAUUAUUUGUAUUAUGGUCUAUCUAGGAGCAAUACCAAAGUGUUUCAAAGGAGGAUUACCUUGACUUAGGUCUGCCUCCGGCCUAAAUUAAAUCAACCUAAGUGAAAUGGAGUCUCUAUCGUUCCACUGCAAGAGUUAACUAUGAGACUUCAUACACCUUAAAGUUCAUAGAACGAAAAGAAGUUUUUUGGAGGCCCUUAUCCUCAUUACGCCUAGCAUUUAGUGGGCUGGAUAUUUACCUUAUCAACUAGCAAAUCCAUAAGGGUUCUAUUUGAUUAGGCACCAGAAUGGGGACCUGAAUCGGACUGAACUGACUCUUUGUCAGGCUACUGUUCUCCUAUUCUGUCGAAUCUAUGAAGUAAGACAUUGAUUUUGCAAUAAGAUCCAUUAUAUUCAUUGCAUAAUAAGCUCCUUUGAAAAGCAUUGGCGCACGUGUAAACGAGUUGCUCUACCGAACUGAGCUAUAGCCCUUAUCAGAGAUAUCUUAACAUAUAGAUAAUUUAUUGUCAAGAUGAAUAUUCUCUAAUGCCAGAGGGUAUCUCUUUAAAUAUGUAUCUGUUUAGUAUAUAACAUACCAAUAAGGAAGCGUUAUUGCUUAGAAAAGGGAUUCGAUAUAUAAUCGAUCGAAGUAAUGGGUCUUCCUUUGUGAUCAUAAAUUGACUACUUAACUCAGUGGUUAGAGUAUUGCUUUCAUACGGCGGGAGUCAUUGGUUCAAAUCCAAUAGUAGGUAGGUAGGUAGAAAAAUUACUAGAUAGCAUUGGGCUUAUUUUGCUUCGCUAUCUAAUAACUUUUUCUACCCCUCUUCCCUUUAUCUUUGUAUCAACUAUAAACCAUUGGAUUGUCUUCAAUUGGACGGGGGAAUCCAAUUGACAGCCUUGAUUCGUAUCCUAGCUCGUCUGAGAGCUAGUUUCGCUUCAACCAAUUCUUUCGUACCCUCAGCUUUACUCAAGUUAUUUUCGGCUAUUUUAAGUGCCUGUUGAGCUUCUUCCGAAUCAAUAUCACUACCCAGUUCCGCAUCAUUUCCUAAAAUAAUGAUCUCAUUAUUAACUAUUCUCGCAAAACCACUCCACAGAACCGCCGUUAACCAUUGGUCGUUGAGGAGGCGUAUUCUCAAAGGACCCAUAUCUACUGCUGUGUUAAUGGGGGCAUGGUUUGGUAAUACCCCAAUUUGACCACUAUUAGUGGAUAAAAUGAUUUCUUUCACUUCACAAUCCCAAAUAAUUCGCUUAGGAGUCAGUACAUAAAGAUUUAAUUUCAUUUCUUCGAUUUGUUCUCCUCUUCUAAGGUUAUAGCUUUCGUGCUAGCUUCAUCGAUGUUACCCACCAAAUAAAAAGCCUGCUCGGGUAGGCCAUCUAAUUCUCCGGAAAGGAUUAGUUGAAAUCCCCUAAUUGUUUCUGCAAGACCAACAUACCUUCCUGCAGAACCAGUAAAAACUUCUGCUACAAAGAACGGUUGUGAUAAGAAACACUCAAUUUUUCGCGCUCUUGCUACAGUUAAACGAUCCUCCUCCGAUAAUUCAUCCAAUCCAAGAAUUGCGAUGAUGUCCUGAAGUUCCUUGUAACGUUGUAAAGUUUCCUUAACUCUUUGCGCAGUUUCAUAAUGUUCGUUGCCAACGAUCCGAGGCUGUAACAUAGUUGAGGUUGAAUCUAAAGGAUCUACUGCUGGAUAAAUACCCUUGGAAGCUAAUCCUCUGGAAAGUACGGUAGUAGCAUCCAAAUGGGCAAAUGUUGUGGCAGGAGCAGGGUCAGUCAAAUCGUCCGCAGGUACAUAAACCGCUUGGAUCGAAGUUAUAGAUCGCUUUUUAGUAGAAGCAAUUCUUUCUUGCAAAGAACCCAUUUCUGUACUAAGAGUAGGUUGAUAACCCACCGCGGAGGGCAUUCUCCCUAAUAAAGCGGAUACCUCCGAUCCUGCUUGAACAAAACGAAAGAUAUUAUCGAUGAAUAAAAGCACGUCUUGCUUAUUAACAUCUCGGAAAUAUUCCGCCAUAGUUAGGGCAGUUAAACCAACUCUCAUACGAGCUCCCGGUGGUUCAUUCAUUUGGCCAUAGACUAGAGCUACCUUUGAUUCCUCAAUAUUUUCAUUAAUUACUCCGGAUUCCCUCAUUUCCAUAUAAAGAUCAUUUCCUUCACGAGUCCGUUCCCCUACUCCACCAAAUACGGAUACACCCCCAUGAGCUUUAGCAAUGUUGUUGAUUAAUUCCAUGAUGAGUACUGUUUUACCUACUCCAGCCCCCCCAAAUAGUCCUAUUUUUCCUCCACGUCGAUAAGGAGCUAAAAGAUCAACGACCUUAAUACCUGUUUCAAAGAUGGAUAAUUUCGUAUCUAACUCGAUAAAGGCAGGCGCAGAUCUAUGAAUAGGGAACGUUGCACUACUGUCUACAGGACCCAAAUUGUCAACAGGCUCUCCAAGAACGUUGAAAAUUCGCCCGAGAGUAGCUCCGCUGACCGGAACACUGAGAGGAGCUCCUGUGUCAAUCACUUCCAUUCCUCUCAUCAACCCAUCUAUAGCACUCAUAGCUACAGCUCUAACUCGAUUAUUUCCUAAUAAUUGUUGUACCUCACAAGUCACAUUAAUUUGCUUAUCGGCAGUGUCUCUACUCUGGACUACCAAAGCAUUAUAAAUAUAAGGUAACUUACCGGGGGGAAAAGUGACGUCCAGCACGGGUCCAAUAAUUUGAUCGAUAUGGCCUGUACUUUUUUCUUCAAUUGGGGAAACCCCGGGACGAGAAGUAGUAGGAUUGGUUCUCAUAAUUAUCACAUAAUAAAAAAAAGGAAUUUGUCGAAAUUUUUCUUUUUUUCUUGUUGAAUAAUACCAAAUCCAAAAAAAUAUCCAAAAAUCCAAAAGUAAAAAGGAAAUCAAUUAGUUAAUUCAAUAAGAGAAAAAAGGGGAACAUGACUUGAUUUCGUUGCCCAAGCGAAUCCCUUUCAACCCUUUACUCAUGGAAUGAGGCCGUUGGAAAGUUCAAUCAAUCUUUUUUUCAUAAGAUAGAUUUUUCCUUUUGUGGAGGAUCUGUGCCUACUCUACUUUCCUAUCUAGGACUUCGCUAUACAAAAUAUAUACUACUGUGAAGCAUAGAUUGCUGUCAACAGAAAAUUUUCUUAGUAUUUAGUUAGGUAUUUCUUUUCAAAAUAAGAAAGGGGCCCUUUAAUAAUUUGUAAAAAACAAAGGUUAAGGAUUGAUUUGGGUUGCGCUCUAUCUAUCAAAGAGUAUACAAUAAUGAUGGAUUUGUUAAAUCAAAUCCUUGGUUUAAUAACGAACGGUGUUAACUUACCAUAACAACAACUCAAUUCCUAUAGUGAAAUUCCUAUAGGAUAGAACAUACACAGGGUGUACGCAUUAUAUAUGAAUGAAAAAUAUUAAUGAACUUAAGCAUGCCCUCAAUUUUCUGUAAUGAGUUGCUAUUAAUUGAAUAUCUCUUUUUUUUAUGAGAUUUUUGCUAAAGUUUCAUUUACGCCUAAUUCACAUCGAGUAGACCUUGUUAUUGUGAGAAUUCUUAAUUCAAGAGUUGUAAGGAGGGACUUAUGUCACCACAAACAGAAACUAAAGCAAGUGUUGGAUUUAAAGCUGGUGUUAAAGAUUAUAGAUUGACUUACUACACCCCGGAGUAUGAAACCAAGGAUACUGAUAUCUUGGCAGCAUUCCGAGUAUCUCCUCAACCUGGGGUUCCGCCCGAAGAAGCAGGGGCUGCGGUAGCUGCCGAAUCUUCUACUGGUACAUGGACAACUGUUUGGACUGAUGGACUUACUAGUCUUGAUCGUUACAAAGGACGAUGCUAUCACAUCGAGCCUGUUCCUGGGGAAGACAGUCAAUGGAUCUGUUAUGUAGCUUAUCCAUUAGAUCUAUUUGAAGAGGGUUCCGUUACUAACAUGUUUACUACCAUUGUAGGUAACGUAUUUGGUCUCAAAGCCCUACGUGCUCUACGUCUGGAGGAUCUAUGAAUUCCCCCUACUUAUUCAAAAACUUUCCAAGGCCCGCCUCACGGUAUCCAAGUGGAAAGAGAUGAGUUGAACAAGUAUGGUCGUCCUUUAUUGGGAUGUACUAUUAAGCCAAAAUUGGGAUUAUCUGCAAAAAAUUACAGUAGAGCAU